rnacentral:rRNA from 1 species
AGCAGCCGCGGUAAUUCCAGCUCCAAUAGCGUAUAUUAAAGUUGUUGCAGUUAAAAAGCUCGUAGUUGAAUUUCGGGAUUAGUACGCUGGUCGUGCCUUCGGUACGUACUGGUGUUACUGAUUCCUACCUUCUGACGAACCAUCAUGUCAUUAAUUUGGUGUGGUGGGAAAUCAGGACUGUUACUUUGAAAAAUUAGAGUGUUUAAAGCAGGCUCGCGCUUGAAUACAUUAGCAUGGAAUAAUGAAAUAGGACGUUGACCCUAUUUUGUUGGUUUCUAGGAUUGACGUAAUGAUUAAUAGGGAUAGUUGGGGGCAUUAGUAUUCAAUUGUCAGAGGUGAAAUUCUUGGAUUUAUUGAAGACUAACUACUGCGAAAGCAUUUGCCAAGGAUGUUUUCAUUAAUCAAGAACGAAAGUUAGGGGAUCGAAGACGAUCAGAUACCGUCGUAGUCUUAACCAUAAACUAUGCCGAC